GCCUUCGUGGUGUAGUGGUCAGCAUACUCGACGCAUAUUCGAGAGGUCCGUGGUUCGAGUCCCAGCGAGGGCA
rnacentral:tRNA from 1 species